rnacentral:RNase_P_RNA from 1 species
CGGGCAGACCAAGCAGCCGCGGAGGCUCGCCCUUCGAGGAAAGUCCGGACAUCACAGGGCAGGGUGGUCGGGAACCCGACCCGGGGAAACCCGCGGGAAAGUGCCACAGAAAACACACCGCCGAUGGCGCGCCGGGCGGUUGCCGUCAAGCGCGCACAGGCAAGGGUGAAAUGGUGCGGUAAGAGCGCACCGGCGCCGUGGCGACGCGGUGGCCAGGCAAACCCCACCCGAUGCAAGGCCAAGCCGGACCGCUUGCAGGCUGCCCGCCAAGGUCCAGGUCGGCCGCGCAGAUGGAUGGCUGCUCACGACAGAAUCCGGCUUACCGGCCCGCUAC